AUCAAUAGGACGGUCCGCACUGCUUCACCUAGCGAUAAUUAAGUGUUUUGGGGGACCGUGUGGGGCAUUUAUAACGGGUGGACCCCCGAAAACACUCGAAAUGGAACUACUGGUUAUUCUUUGGUGAGACAAAGCUCCGACGUGUCCGCGGGGGUUCGAGGCAAAGUUCCCCUGUGCUCUGAAAGGACUUGUGCCGCUGCAACAACAGGUGACGAGGACGGCAGAGCAAUUAAAGAUGCUGGCCCGGAUAGAGACAGCGAUCCGGGGAGAAGGAGCGGAGGAGAGGCGAGAGGGUCGACCAAUGAGUAGCACCGCACUUCAACUCCCCUCCCAGGGUGCUGGAGUGAUCCUCCCGGCACCACUGCACCACCUUUAAAAGCCCAUCACGCUCAGCACGCUCCUGCAGGCCCCCCUAAUGGAAGACACAUCGGCAUCUACAGUUCAUUAACACGAGAAGCAAUGAGGUACAUGCCGUCCGAAAGAUGAAAAGUCAGAAUCACGAGCAGCAGAUGCUACGAUGGGAUUUCCCACGUUAGCGCCAUAAGUGGCUCCCCAGUCGGCGACUCUCCCACGCAUGAAGUCGGCGAAGCUGCCGACACUGAGAUCGAUCGCUGUCAACGCGCUGCCAUUCCUUGACCCCCCCUCCCCGGGGGGACGCGAUGGGCCUCCUUGGCUCUGAGUGAGGACCUGCAGACGAGGGACCAGCACUGGUGUGAUGCAGGAGACGGGAGGAGAGUGUGAGAGGAUCUGCAGGUCUUCAUGUCCUCACCUGUCACUUCUCAGUCCCAGGUGCCUCCUGAUUGACCAGAUGCAAAAAUAACCGUCCACGGUGAAGAGCUGGUGCCUCCGCAGCCUCGACCCUCACCAUAAGCCCCCGGCGGGCUGGAUCGGGAGAGUCACGCGGGGGUCAUGUAGAGUUUGCCCCCCCUUGAACUCUGCGAUGUUAGCUGAAGCAUGGAGGCUUCGACGCUCCCGGCCCCUGCAGGGCCCGCUGCCUGCUGAAUCUGUGUCAAACUGCAUGAACCCGACGCAUCUUCUGCGCAGGGGACCGAGCAACGAGGGGCGUCCGCUGACGCGGCGGGUCGAUGGGAGAGAAUAACGGAGCUGUGGGGAUCGCAAUCGAGUGUGAAAAGUGUGAAAGCGCAGGGUGACAUUGG
ensembl:lncRNA